rnacentral:rRNA from 1 species
UGGAGCUGAAAUCAGUCGAAGAUACCAGCUGGCUGCAACUGUUUAUUAAAAACACAGCACUGUGCAAACACGAAAGUGGACGUAUACGGUGUGACGCCUGCCCGGUGCCGGAAGGUUAAUUGAUGGGGUUAUCCUCGCGGAGAAGCUCUUGAUCGAAGCCCCGGUAAACGGCGGCCGUAACUAUAACGGUCCUAAGGUAGCGAAAUUCCUUGUCGGGUAAGUUCCGACCUGCACGAAUGGCGUAAUGAUGGCCAGGCUGUCUCCACCCGAGACUCAGUGAAAUUGAACUCGCUGUGAAGAUGCAGUGUACCCGCGGCAAGACGGAAAGACCCCGUGAACCUUUACUAUAGCUUGACACUGAACACUGGUCCUUGAUGUGUAGGAUAGGUGGGAGGCUUUGAAGUGUGGACGCCAGUCUGCAUGGAGCCAUCCUUGAAAUACCACCCUUUAAUGGCUGGUGUUCUAACGUGGGCCCCUAAUCGGGGUUGCGGACAGUGUCUGGUGGGUAGUUUGACUGGGGCGGUCUCCUCCUAAAGAGUAACGGAGGAGCACGAAGGUCAGCUAAUCCUGGUCGGACAUCAGGAGGUUAGUGCAAUGGCAUAAGCUGGCUUGACUGCGAGCGUGACGGCGCGAGCAGGUGCGAAAGCAGGUCAUAGUGAUCCGGUGGUUCUGAAUGGAAGGGCCAUCGCUCAACGGAUAAAAGGUACUCCGGGGAUAACAGGCUGAUACCGCCCAAGAGUUCAUAUCGACGGCGGUGUUUGGCACCUCGAUGUCGGCUCAUCACAUCCUGGGGCUGAAGUAGGUCCCAAGGGUAUGGCUGUUCGCCAUUUAAAGUGGUACGCGAGCUGGGUUUAGAACGUCGUGAGACAGUUCGGUCCCUAUCUGCCGUGGGCGCUGGAGAAUUGAGGGGGGCUGCUCCUAGUACGAGAGGACCGGAGUGGACGCAUCACUGGUGUUCGGGUUGUCAUGCCAAUGGCAUUGCCCGGUAGCUAAAUGCGGAAGAGAUAAGUGCUGAAAGCAUCUAAGCACGAAACUUGCCCCGAGAUGAGUUCUCCCUGACUCCUUGAGAGUCCUGAAGGAACGUUGAAGACGACGACGUUGAUAGGCCGGGUGUGUAAGCGCAGCGAUGCGUUGAGCUAACCGGUACUAAUGAACCGUGAGGCUUAACCUU